UACGGGGGGGGCAAGCGUUGUCCGGAAUUAUUGGGCGUAAAGAGCUCGUAGGCGGUCUGUUGCGUCCGCUGUGAAAACUCGGGGCUUAACCCCGAGCCUGCAGUGGAUACGGGCAGACUAGAGGUAGGUAGGGGAGAAUGGAAUUCCCGGUGUAGCGGUGAAAUGCGCAGAUAUCAGGAGGAACACCGAUGGCGAAGGCAGGUCUCUGGGCCACUACUGACGCUGAGAAGCGAAAGCAUGGGGAGCAAACAGG
rnacentral:rRNA from 1 species